UCUUUCUCCUCUACUAAUUGACAGGCAUUCCUGCCUCUAAGCAUUUGCACGUAACAGUCCUCUCUCUUGAAUACCCUUCCACUCUAUGGAUUUCAGUGCAUUGAAAUCCCGUGUGCAUACAGGGCCUAGCCCAGAUCCUGCUCUCCUCACUGGACUCUUCCAUUACUGUCCCAGCUCUCCUCCAGCAUAUAAUUGUCUAUGCCUCUGAGAGCCACUGAGCAGAACCUGCCUGGCAUAGUCUGCCACAUAUCUCCUCUUUUAGACCUUCCUGGGGACCCUUGGGUGUGGGGAUCCAAGUCUGAAGUAUUUUCUAUUUUGUGGCCUAGGAGGUGCUCCCUGAGUUUGUUGAUAGGAGGCUAGAAGAAGAGGUCUUGAAGUUAAACCUUGGAGAAAGGUGGGAUUUGGAGAAAUUGAGAGGCUCGUUAGACUCAGAUGGGUCAGACCUGAGGCAUCCAGGAGAGUUGGGGGCAGGAUGGAAAUGUGCACCUAGAGAAGGGGGCAGUGGACAGAGUCACUGUCCAAAGCUCUAGGACCUAGCCAUCUCCCUUGCCAGGUCCUCAGGCCCUUACAUGGGCUGAUUAGCAAUGCCCAGGUUUGCUUCACUGCAACUAUCUUGUCCAUUUUUGCUUUAGAGGAGCAGUUUAUCCUUUCCCAGGUUGCACUCCUGGAGCAGGUGAAUGCCUUGGUGCCCAUGCUGGACAGUGCUCACAUCAAAGGUAUCUCUCUGGGGUUAUAGCUUCACUACUCUGGUUGGGGAGGUAGGUGGAUGGAUGGGCAAGACUUUCCUGUGUUUCAGGUUGUGUGGAUUCGGGUUGGGUCUGUUCCUUAUCUUUUUUUUUUUUUUUUGGACAGAGUCGUACUCUGUCACCCAGGCUGGAGUUGCAGUGGCAUGAUCUUGACUCACUGCAACCGCUGCCUCCUGGUUCAAACAAACUUCCCACCUCGCCUCCCAAGUAGCUAGGAUUACAGGUGUGUGCCACCACACCUGGCUAUUUUUAGUAGAGACGGGGUUUCACCAUGUUGUCCAGGCUGGUCUCAAACUCCUGGCCCCAUGUGAUCCACCUGCCUCGGCCUCUCAGAGUGCUGGGAUUACAGGCGUGAGCUACUGUGCCUGGCCUGUUCCUUAUCUUUAUCCUCACCCUGAGGUACUUGCCACAUCCACCAAUUAAAAUUACCAGGAUAGAGAGCCCAGUUUUAGGACCUCAGGCAAUUUGGGCCUGAGAACACUAGCCUAAGCUCUAGCAGUCCCCAGCUCUGGGGAUUCCUUCUGCCUUCUACCUACCCCCAAGCAUCUCUUCUUCAAGGUGCUGCAGAACCCAGAUUUUACUAUCAGAGUCUCUGCCAGGUCCAUGAAUGUAUGUGAAUUCUUUCUGCUGCACUGCUGAGAGCAGUCCCUGGGCCUGGACUUUGACAAGCAGAUAGUGGCUUUAAUUGAAUCCAGAUAUCCAUCUUGUCUGUCUGUGGAGGUAUUUUUCCCAGCUCCCCCUCCCUACCCCUCAUCAGCUGCCCGCUGAGUAUCUGACAGCCUUAAGCUUUGAGCCCAGCAUGGUGGCCAAGCCUUGGCGUGUUGGAUUCCAGCUUAGGGACCUGGCAUCCAUCUUCAGACUCCCUGUUCCCUAGGCCAGGCAGACCUGCCCCCGCUGGGCUGAGAGCAAAGGGACAGGUCCUAUAAUAGCCAAAGCUCUCUUUACCUGGUCCUGCUUAUAGCACUGGGGUGGGGGUAGGGAGCAACACUGGGAACCCCCAGGUUUUGUCUUCUCCUUGGGACAUGUAUCUUCCCCUCCCCUAUGGGUCCUGGAGUAAGACUGGAGUGGGCAGGGAGCCCCACUGCCACCUCCAGCUGCAGCGGUCGAUGAAGUCUGGCGUUUGUUUAGCUUCUCCACUCAAUACUCUAAUCCUGCCAAAGACCUAAUAGACUAUUGAGCAGUCCCGGGGGAGGGCACAAGCAUCAUCCAGCAGUGUGUGUUGUGUUUUACAGCCGUUCCUGAGCAUGCUGCCCGCCUGCAGCGCUUGGCCCAGAUCCACAUUCAGCAGCAGGUAUGGGAGGGGAGAUGACUAGAAGCGAAGAUGGAGGUGGCGCAGCACCUCAUCCCAACUCAUGCCACCUGGGGAAGCAGCUUCAGGCCUUUCUGUUGUAACCUCAGCAGAAACUUUGGGGUUUAUCCUUUAUCUUGCAUAUGCCCCAGGGAGGUAAAGGGACUUGCCUAGGUUCAUGUACAAACUUUCUGCUUCCAGAGCAGGACUUUAUUGGGACACCAUAAGGUUGAGGCUGGGAGGUACCCAAGAAUUCCUGGGGAUGGUAUGUCAUUGACUGUGGGUAGAGGGGCUCUUUUUUCACUAUUCCCAGGCCCUAGUGUAAAGUUCAAAGAGAGUUCAGAAAUAAGGACAGAAGAAGAGACAUACACUAGGGGGAAUGUUUACUUAAUGUAUGGCCACUCCCUUUUCCAUCAGUCUUUGGACUGCUGUUAGGGCACCCAUCCUGGAGCCUGAAAGUGCUCCCAUAGCCAUUUGCUCCUUUGGCUUUGGGGUUAAGCGUCAUCUUUUUUAGGCUCCAUGGGGAGUGGGAGUCCGUGAUGAGGCAGGAAGUUUAGUGGAAGAUGUGGGCUUUGCCCAGUUCCUUUCUGUGCUACACUUUGGCCCUACAGGACCAGUGUGUGGAGAUCACUGAGGAGUCCAAGGCUCUCCUGGAGGAAUACAACAAGACUACAAUGCUUCUCUCCAAGCAAUUCGUGCAGUGGGAUGAGCUACUUUGCCAGCUAGAGGCCGCCACGCAAGUGAAGCCAGCAGAGGAGUGAUAGCUGCUCCCCAUCCCAAAGUGGGCCUGGGCAGUCAGGCUCCAGGGCCCUAUGCCAACCUGCCUUUGUUACAAGGCAGAGGAAGCUUUGUAUUUAUUGGCUUCAAGGCCCACCUCUCUGUACUCUGGGCUCUAAAGUUGGAGGUCAGGUUACCUGAGGUUUGCAAUUUGCAACACCCACCCUCCCCCCAAUCAGUGUUCUUAUUUCAGUGACAAUAAACCAUAGAGAUGA
rnacentral:sRNA from 1 species